rnacentral:rRNA from 1 species
UGGGGAAUCUUGCACAAUGGGGGCAACCCUGAUGCAGCGACGCCGCGUGAGCGAUGAAGCCCUUCGGGGCGUAAAGCUCUUUCGACCGGAACGAUAAUGACGGUACCGGGAGAAGAAGCUGCGGCUAACUACGUGCCAGCAGCCGCGGUAAUACGUAGGCAGCAAGCGUUGUUCGGAGUUACUGGGCGUAAAGAGUGCGUAGGCGGUUUUCUAAGUUCGGUGUGAAAUCUCCCGACUUAACUGGGAGGGUGCGCCGAAGACUGGGAAGCUGGAGUGUGGGAAAGGCAGGCGGAAUUCCUGGUGUAGCGGUGAAAUGCGUAGAUAUCAGGAGGAACACCGGCGGUGUAGACGGCUUGCUAGACCAUAACUGACGCUGAGGCACGAAAGCGUGGGUAGCAAACA